rnacentral:tRNA from 1 species
GGCCUCGUAGCUCAGCUGGUAGACCAUGCGCGUACAAAGCGUAGGCGGCGUCCAUGCGUGGGUUCGAAUCCCACCGAGGCUA